GGUCAGUCUGCUACAGCAGCACCACAUCAUCAAUCAUUGUGGGACAGUGGGCGGACAACAUACUGGUGUUCAGAGUGGAAUAGUGUGAACAUUCGCUGCUGAGUCAGGACAACGAUGCUGAGGAUGUGGUGAACAAGGAUGACCUGACUACGCAGAAGGAGAGCACCAGCAUUGGUAUCGAGUUGGCCCAGCAUCAGUACCAGUCCAGCAUGCAGGAGAUCCAGUCAAGGACGACCCUUCCCCUCCCCUGACCACUAAAUCCUCACUUUUGACCUGCAGCCUCGAAGGAUCAACAUCGUUGAACAAUUCUGUUCUGCAGGAAAUUCUCAGCACGUCAAGUUUUCACGGGCUGUUCUCAACAACCGCAAUGUCCUGGUCGAGUUUUCCACACUCAAGCCUGAGUAGUUUUGUUAAAUAUAAGCAGUAGAAAUGGUAAAACUAACAGCCAGUGUGCUUGCUCUGGGACAUCACAAAGAAUAUCACAGAAUACAAAGUUGAAUAACUUGUUCCAUUCAUUAUGGGACCAACAGAAAUUCAGCAAGAAACAGGGCAAAAAAUCAAGGAACAAUUGAAGCGAUUAAUUUAGAAGUGUAGGUUUUCCAAAGUAGAUACUUCUGCUGUUGAUAGUUUUGACAGUAAUAGCGCUACGGACGUCUCGGUUUGUCCUCUCAGGCGUGUAAACUGUCCAAAGAGAACACGCUUCUGACGCUUUUGCUGACGAAGAAAGGCAGUAAUGACUUGGCUGUGAACACCCAGAGCACAAUACAUCCUUGGGGCAUGCCUCAGACGCAAAUUCCGCUCAAGAUUAUAAACAAGGCGCAAAAUGUGAAUAUGUCUAGCUUUGUUACGAGCACUUCCCACUCCGAGCCCAUAGGCCUCGUAUUGAAUCGAGGCUGAGAAGGCAUUGACAAAUGACAGCAGUUGUGUUGUGUGGUCCAGUAUGCCCAUCGACUCUCAACCCGACGUUAAUCAGAACUCAAACUCGGCCCUUAGCAAUAUCAGCUCAGCUCCUUGAGCCUCAGGACUUGAUGCAAUCCUUGAUUGGUACCCAGCUUAACAACAGGCUCUUUGGUCAGCUGGUCCCAGAUGCCCAGAGACACUUCCUGUGCAUCGGGGGUAGUUGGCUCUUGGCGCAGGACCUCGCUCAACAAAUCCUUCCAGCAGGGUGCAGCCAGUCUAAACCUGGAGUUUCAAACUUCCCUGCCUAAGGGCCGAGAUUAUCUCAUCCACAAGGUAUAUUUGGGCUGUAAUUUACUGUGUAUAAUGUGCAGAGGCUUAUACUCACAAGUUCAGGCCCAGAGAGAAAUGUCCCCAACAACAACUUAGCCCCUACAUCUCAAUAGGAGAGCACCAGCAUUGACUAUUGUGUUGGCCCAACAACAGCACCAGUCAGGCAUGCAUGAGCCCCAGUCCAGGACAACCUUUCCCCUACCCUGAUCCAUAUCUCCUCCCCCAAGACUUCCAGCCUCAAAUUCUGAGCACAUCCAGUUUUCUUGCACUGUUCUCAUCAACCGCAAUGUCCACGUCAAGUUAUCCACUGUCGAGCCCGAGUAGUUUUGUUUAGCUUGAGUGUCCGAACGGGAAGAGUGUUACAGACACAAGGAGUUAUAUCAGUAGUUAUGGUAAUGCUCAAUCAACAGUCAGUUCUUGCUGUUGGACAUCACUGUGAAUAUCACGACGAAUGAGAAGUUGAAUGACUUGUUCCAUUCAUUAUGGGACAAACACAAAUUCAGCGAGGAACGGGACAAAAAAUCAAGGAACAAUUGAAGCGAUUAAUGCAGAAGUGUAGGCUGUCCAAAGAAGAUACUUGUGCUGUUGAUAGUUAGGACAGUAGUAGCGUUACGGACCAUCUCGGUUUGUCCUCUCAGGGGUCUAAACUGUCCAAAGGGAAUAUAAAGCUUUUGACGCUGUUGCUGAUGAAGAAAGGCAGUAAUGACUUGGCUGUCAACACCCAGAGCACAAUACAUCAAAGGGGCAUGCCUCAGACGCAAAUUGCGCCCAAGAUUGUAAACAAGGUGCAAAAUGUGAACAUGUCUGGCUUUGUUACGAGCACUUGGCACUUGUAUUGAAUCGAGAAUAGAGAUGGCUUUGAAAAAUGACAGCAGUUUUGUAAUGUCGUCCAGUACGCACUUGGACUCUCAACCGAGUUAGUCAGAACUCAAACUCGGGCCUUAGUAAAAUCAGCAAGUUGUAGAGACGCUCAAACUAAAACAAUUUGUUCCAACAGAUAGAACAGGCGUUGAUUGACUCGUCCGUAAAUGUGACUGGCCUUAAUAUGUUGCUCUCGAAUAAUGUGAACCUCACCAGGAGAGCUGUCUGCGAUUGACGCCAUUCAACAACAGUUGUUGUCGGGAAUUCCCGGGUUUGGGUUGGUGACUUAGGUGUCGGGACUCGCUUCAUCUCUGCAUAUGGCACGGUCCCAGCAGCAGCAACAAGAACAGCCGUCGCUUCUGAGUCCGGACAAAGAUGCUGAGGAUGUGGUGGACAAGAAUGACCUGAAUACGUAGAAGGAGAGAACCAGCAUUGAUAUCGAGUUUGACCAGGAACAGCACCAGUCUGCCUGAAGAAUCCCCAGUCCAGGACGAUCCUUGCCUCCCACCCCCCCGACCCCUAGCUCCUCCACCCUGACCUCUGGCCUCAAAGGGUCAUCAUAGUUGCAUUCAAGCGCUGUACUCAACAACCGCAAUGUCUGUGUCGAGUUUUCAACACUCAAGACUGAGUAGUUUUGUUGAGCUCGAGUGCCAGAGUGGGACAGACACAAUGAGUUAUAGAAGUAGUUAUGGUAACACUAACAGUCAGUUCCUGCCGUAUGACAUCACAACUAAUAUCACGAAGAAUAAAAAGUUGAUUAAUUUGUUCCAUUCUUUAUGGGACAAACAUAAAUUCAGCGAGGAUCGGGGAAAAUCAAGGAAAUUUUAACAAUUGAAGUGAUUAAUUCACAUGAGUAAGCUUUCCAAGCAGAAUACUUUUGCUGUCUAUAGUUUGGACAGUAGUAGAUUUACAAACGCGCUUUUGAUGCUGUUGCUGACAAAGAAAGGCAGUAACUACUUCAUUGUGAACACCCAGGGCACGAUACACCCAUGGGGUUUGCCUAAAAUGUGAAUUCCGCCCAAUAUUGUAAACAAGGUGCUAAAAGUAAACACGUCCGGUUUUGUUACGUGCGCUUUGCACUCCAAGCCCAAAGCACAUAGAAUCAACGCCAGAAAAGGCUUAGAAAAUGACAGCAGUUUCGUUGUGUGAUCCAGUAAGGACUCUGAACGACAUUAAUGAGACCUCAAACUUGACCAUAGCACUCACAGCGAGGCCAUCAUGUUAUCUCAGCUUCUUGAG